rnacentral:lncRNA from 1 species
CCAUACUACAAGCCCAACCCAUGGAGACUGAAGAAAAGAUACAAAAGGCAGCAGCAGUCCUGCUCGAGGCAUCGAACAGAUCAAUUGGCGAACGGCGAACCGCGGCGGCGACCUGGUGGCCAGUUGGCACCUUGUCGAUUUUCCUUCCUCCCUACCCUCCUUCUCCUCUACCUUCUAGAAGUUUCUGGCAUCUUCCACCACUUAUCAGCUGCCACUGAUCGAAAUCCUCCAGUGGCUGCGAGGGUAGCGUGGAUCAGCACGGCCACAGCGGCGGCAGUGGUAGUAGCGGUGUUGAUGACGGUGGUGCAGCACGGCGCGCAGUUCACCGUUGACGAGCGGGUGCACGCAGAUGUUGCUGAGCAUGUCGCCGUGCCUCAACUACUGGACGGGAAAUGCGCUAGCGUCAGCAUCGUGCUGCUUGAAGCUGGGAGAGGUGGUGAAGUCCCGGAGUGCCCUUGCGUCAGGCUCAAUGCCGUCACGACGGCGUUCAGGCUCAGCAUCAAACGCACCCGCGCGCUCGGCCUCCCUGACGCGUGCAAGGUCCAGAUGCCGCCGUUCAGCAACUACAAGAGUGGUGCUGUUUCUUCGGUGGGACAGACACUGACUUUCGUAGGGACAGGGUCGAAGGUGACGCUAGUGACGGCCAUUGGUUCCGGCGUCGUGCCGCUCCGUGUCUCUCUGGUGGGGAUCCUCGCCGGCCUCGUCGUCGUGGCCGUCUACGCCAUCUCCACCGUGUGA